CAACAUAGAGCAGAAAGGACCAUCUGGACACCACAUAUGAGGAAAUCAGACAUCUCUAGGUUGAAUCAUGCCCAAAAGGACAAUUUCUUGUCAGAUAAGCUGCUGUGUACUAAGUCUGAUAACUAACAAAAUUGCUAUAUGGUAAUUUUAACUGGAAAUUGUCCACUUUUAUCCUCCGGUUUUCUCUCUUAUUCCAUUGGUAACCACCCUGGGAGUUCUAAUACCAUGUCCAUGUACAAGUGCUUAAAUCAACCCUCAGGUUGUGACAGUCAAGCUACAGUGGCUGUGAAAUAAUCUGCACAGCAGAGUAUGCUAUGUCAUUGGCUCAAUCAGCAUAAUGCAGCAUAAUAGAAUAGAAGCACACAAUUAUAUAAUGCCAUAAUUUGAUUUCUCUCUAAUUUCUGGACACAUCACAAAAUAAUCAAGGCAGUGAAAUGAAGUGUAAAGAAUAAUGGCUGAGUUUG
rnacentral:lncRNA from 10 species